CUGUGCUCAUCACUAGGGCUGUGAGGGCUGCUGCCAGCUGCUGGAAACAGAGCCUGCUGCUCCAGGAUGCACAUUAUUCACAGGAGCAGCCUCUCAGCACUGAUUAUCACUGAAGAGUUCUCUGCUCUCCAUCCCUGCACUCCCUCCAUGCGACUGGACUGCAGAACACAUGGAGGAGGGUACAAACUGCAACUGACCUACGACAUGCCUGAGAAAGCCCUAAUUGUAUGCUACAUUGAGGCAUAGACUAUAUCCCAGACUUGGUUCUUGGUGAGGUCCUGGCUUUGUCUCUUGGUCUCCUGAUGUCAGUGAUGUUCUUGUUCUGUCUCAACCAUGCCCCAUCAGAGAUGGCCACAACACAGCCUUUUGCUUCAUUGCUUAGUCAUACUUCCAAUGGGAUCUGCCUGGCAGGGAUCAUGCUUCAAGGUCUACAGCAUCAAGAAUUUAAAAGUAAUACUAUGGAUCUCCCUUUGGUCAAACAAUAGCUCAUACCUGAUAUGUGAUGGGAACCAAAAAGUGGACUCUCAUACAAUAAAUGGCUCCCACCUUGUGGCACUUUUGCUAUAUGAAGGUGUCAAAUUUUUUUCUUCUUUUUUUUUUGGCUUAGAAUUCAUCUGACUGUGAAUGUGAAAGUUUCUGAGUCAAACUUCAGGCCACACAGAAGCUCUGAAAACAGGUAAUGUCCAAAUAUAGUGUUAAUGGUCUCCAGAGAGAGAAACCUUCAAGUAGUGAUGCCCACAUGACUGGUUGGAGGAAAAUUUCCUUUCACUUAUGGCUAAAAUUAGAGCCAGCCUGGAAGCACUGAGAGCUAACCAGAAAGCUGACCAGCUGGAAAUCAUAGUCCUUCCACCUCACAGGAACCCUGCCAGAAACAUAUGCAAAACUGGGCUUAGGAAGAGCAGAUCCUAUCAGCUGGAAAUAAACAUGAGUUCUUGAAGUAGGAAAUAUGGACUACUACAGGAAAGAGGUGGGGAAAUCACAUUUUAAAAUGUGAUCAGAAGCAACUUGCACAAAAGUAGAAAGAAAACAGAGAAAUAACAUGGCCAAAAUCUAUACAAAAACUAUGCUAUUAGAAUCACCAAGGUGGUCAAACUUUGUUUCAGGAGGAAAGUGGGAAGAAGACUGGGGUCUUAAAGGAUCUGGGAGUGAGAUCCUCUGUGCAAUGUCCUUAGAAGCACUUUGGGAACUGGAAAAGAGCUGCGGGUUAGACUCUUUAAAAAUGAACUUUUCACAGUAUUUUUCUAUACUCUAUAACCUUAUUCUUAAAGCUGAAAAAAAUAUUCCAGUCACUCUUCCAGCCUGGACUUUUUGAAGUGAGGUACCACAUUUUGAAUUACAGUAAAUAAGUGAGCUAUGAGUUAAAUAUAAAUGAGAGGUUAUUGGACAAAUUUGGAUGCCUCUAUAGAAGCCACAGUAUACUCCUGGAAACGUAGAGAUUUUCACAAAUAUUGUGUGACUUGAAGAUACCACAUUUCUCUUAGUUUCAGCUGAAAUUCAAGAAAAACGAGACAGGAAAAAAAGAAACUCCAAGAAAAGAGACUCUGAGAAGGGUGAUGCUGAUCCUUUUGAUAACUAUGUGGCCUCAUGAAAGUGAAUUUUGCCUUCUUAUUUACCAAACCCUAAACUCAGGACAAAUUGGCCCAGAAUCAACUGAUUAAUUAAUGCUGAUUUGUACUUGGAUUUACAAAUUGCAAUCAUCAUAAGGAAACUUCAAUAAUUUUAUAAGAGCUGGAAAUUGCUUGAGGUGGACUUUUUCUACAAAGCUAAGGAUUAAGAAAUGAGCCAUACAUAAGGAAGAAGCAAUUCUUUCCU